CACAAUAAAGGAAAUAGCGCCGAAUCGCGUCAGUCCUGCGUCUAAACCCAGAGCUGGCAACAUCUCAACACCUUCUGUCUGCUGCAGUCAGUGCUUAAUCCAGACAAGAACCGCUACAAGCGUCGAAAUGGUGGUCAAAAUACAUAUCGUUUACUGUGGUGGAUGAGGGUACAGGCCCAAGAUGUUAGCGCUCGAGAAGUUGCUCGAGAGUAAUUUUCCAGGCGACCUUGAUAUUACAAGCGAGGGCACUCCUUCAACAACUGGGUGGUUUGAAGUGGAGGUGAACGGUGAACUGGUGCACUCCAAGAAGAACGGGGAUGGCUUUGUGGACAGCGGUUGGAAGAUAGACAGGCUUGAGAGUGCCAUUGAGAAAGCUUUGAAGCUUGGCUGAUGCUGAGUUUGUUCGUCUCUGUUUGUUGACUCCUGUGAAAGUGCAACAAUGAUGGUGACUUCCGAAGUGUCUUUGGCACGGACGUUGCUUGAUGCUUUCCCGCUCUUUCACGGAUGACGCUAUCCGAAUGGACAAACUCCAGGAAAUGUUGUUUUUUGUUUGUUUUUUUACUUAAUUUCAAAUUAAAACAAUUUUAUUUCUGUUUGCUUCAAAUCUGCUUUGCUCGUUAAAAAUGAACCAAUUGGAAGAUUCUAAACAGUCAUGCAAUAAAACCAAUACCAAAAA